CUAGCGGCGGACGGGUGAGUAACGCGUGGGAACGUGCCCUUUGCUACGGAAUAGCCCCGGGAAACUGGGAGUAAUACCGUAUGUGCCCUUUGGGGGAAAGAUUUAUCGGCAAAGGAUCGGCCCGCGUUGGAUUAGGUAGUUGGUGGGGUAAUGGCCCACCAAGCCGACGAUCCAUAGCUGGUUUGAGAGGAUGAUCAGCCACACUGGGACUGAGACACGGCCCAGACUCCUACGGGAGGCAGCAGUGGGGAAUCUUAGACAAUGGGGGCAACCCUGAUCUAGCCAUGCCGCGUGAGUGAUGAAGGCCUUAGGGUUGUAAAGCUCUUUCAGCUGGGAAGAUAAUGACGGUACCAGCAGAAGAAGCCCCGGCUAACUCCGUGCCAGCAGCCGCGGUAAUACGGAGGGGGGCUAGCGUUGUUCGGAAUUACUGGGCGUAAAGCGCACGUAGGCGGACUGGAAAGUCAGAGGUGAAAUCCCAGGGCUCAACCUUGGAACUGCCUU
rnacentral:rRNA from 1 species